GGUUGCUGCUGGUCACCCUUCCCCCUGCUGUAGUCCAAAGGAGAGGAGAAGGAGAGGGAGGGGAAGACAAGGUGCAUCAAGGAGAGGAGAAGAGAAGGAGAGGGAAGGGAGAGAGAAGAAAGGAGGUGGAUUCCUAUCCUUAGGUUGGGUAAAAUCAAAGUUGCCCAUCAUCGUCUGCUUGCCGGUCACUGUCCAUGCCUCCGACGGUGCUAGGGUAAUAGGAUGUACGGUGAGAUUAGAGCCGGUGACUUGAAGGCGUUGUGACAGGCUUGAGGAAGAGAAGAUAUAUGAGAUGAGGAAGUUUGUUGUUGAGACAGCGAAACCAACCCAUCAGCCUGUUAAGGGGAGAUUCAUGCUCAGCUCAGGUUCACCAGGGUUGAAGAGAAAUGCGACAUGGAUAAUUUGUUCCCGGUGUACACCUAUGACUUGGCACCUUUGAAAUUCCUGCAAAAUCUCUUUGAAAUUUCUACGUUUCCAAUCAGGUUAACACAGGUCACAAAAGUGUAUGGAAAAUAGAUAGCUAUAUAGGUGUAACAAUCCGAAUUCAGAAUAAAUAAAAAUUUAUUUUCAUAAAGAA